UACGUAGGGGGCGAGCGUUGUCCGAAGUUACUGGGCGUAAAGCGCGCGUAGGCGGGUUCUUAAGUGAGGGGUGAAAGGUUUGGGCUCAACCCAAACACUGCCUUUCAUACUGGGAGCCUUGAGUGCGGGAGAGGCGAGUGGAAUGGUCGGUGUAGCGGUGAAAUGCGUAGAUAUCGAUCGGAACACCCAUGGCGAAGGCAGCUCGCUGGCCUGCAACUGACGCUGAGGCGCGAAAGCGUGGGGAGCGAUCCGG
rnacentral:rRNA from 1 species